AGCCCUGAGGUGUCAUACACAUUUGAUUGCAAAUCUUAAGUGGUAGAGUAACGUCUGCCGGGGCUU
rnacentral:tRNA from 1 species